rnacentral:lncRNA from 1 species
GAACACAAAAUGGCGACACGUGGUUAGCAUUCGUCGCCAACGAGAAAUUGGGGUCGGCCCGAAAGCUCUAGAAUGCACCCCUCUUCCUCCCCGGGGCCUUCCACCUCCGCGAGUUUUAUGACUUAAAAAAGCCCACAGGCUGGUCUGAAGGUCGGAGGCCUAAUUUUAACGCGUUUUCCUCCCUUUAAUUUGAAACGGGAACGCGAAUGACUGUAAAAUGUGGGCACAAUAUUUAAUCUCUCGCCUUUUUAAAGCUUAAUAGUGGAUAAUAGGGGGGCAGUAUCAAGGGAUAAUUUGGGUCCCCACAGUACCAAAGCAUUUAGAAACCUCUGUUUAAUUUAAGGAAUGAGAUAAGUUACUGCUUUUCUAGACUUCCUAGCAUGGGCUGUUGUGCUGGAGAGAACGAGAGCUACGAAGAGACUACAGUGCCUCUGACUUUUUCAUAGGACAGUUGGCCGGUGAAUCUUAUUAAUAGUUUACCACAAUUAAGUGUUCAUUUUUAGUCUAGAAGGGACAGGCGUUUAUUGUGCAUUGGCCAGUGCCAGCACAUCCGAUGCAAGGCAGUUCACCGUAUUCUAUCUUUAAUUUUUACCAUGGUCCUCUGAGGUAGGUGUUCUUAUCUCUCUCUCUCUCUCUCUCUUUUAAACAGAGGAAGACAAACAUAAAGAUGAAGUGCUUAAUUCAAGGUCACACAAUGUCGGGGAUGGACCUCCAGAUUUCCUUACUGACCUGCAUUAUCUUGUGGAUACCUGAGUGAAUUCCACACCACCCAUUUUAUAGAUGAAACCACUGAGACAUGGAGCAAUUGACUGAGUAGUCACUGCCCCACCCCUGCCUGGAGCCUCACACAUGACUCGCCUCCUCUCAGUGACCACAGGAAAACAAGCUCAGGGCUCCCACUGAUUGUACAUUAUGAGACGGAGUCUUGCUAUGUUGCCCAGGCUGGUCUUGAACUCCUCACCUCAAGCGAUCCUCCCGUCUUGGCCUCCCAAGUGUCAGGAUUACGGGCAUGUGCUAUCACACCCAACCUGAUACAUUGCCUUUAUAAAUUUUUUUUUCUUUAUUCUAAAAACCAGAAAAAACAAAACUGGAUACAUGUGCAGAACAUGCAGACCAAGUGUGUUGGGGACUUGAGAUGCGUACAUGAGUGUGAUGUUUCCUGCUGAAAGCACAGGUGAGACGUGGUCUUGUAACACAGUGGUUAAGAAUGUGACUUUGGAGCCAGCCUGCUAGGGGCUGAAUUCUGACUCAGCCAUUUACUAACUGUGUGACCUUAGGGAGGAGGACCUGGUUGAUAGAAGAAUUUAUCUCGUAGUCUUAACAUCCACUGUAAUUCCAAACUUUGAGGACGAUAGAGAUCAGUGGGCUUUGACUGCCCAGCAUGCAGUCUCCAU